rnacentral:snoRNA from 1 species
GAGAGAUGAUGAAUACACUAUUGGUCCGUGUUUCUGAUUACCGUGACUGAUAAACCAGUGUUUUAUUCUGAUCUC